rnacentral:rRNA from 1 species
UACGUAGGGGGCUAGCGUUGUCCGGAAUCAUUGGGCGUAAAGCGCGCGUAGGCGGCCCGGUAAGUCCGUUGUGAAAGUCAAAGGCUCAACCUUUGAAAGCCGAUGGAUACUGCCGGGCUGGAGUCCGGAAGAGGCGAGUGGAAUUCCUGGUGUAGCGGUGAAAUGCGCAGAUAUCAGGAGGAACACCAAUAGCGAAGGCAGCUCGCUGGGACGUUACUGACACUGAGGCGCGAAAGCGUGGGGAGCGAACAGG